GGGUCGGUAGGUUGGUCGUGCCACCGGUACGUACUGGUCUCACUGAUUCCUCCUUCCUGAAGUACCGUAAUGCCAUUAAUUUGGUGUUGCGGGGAAACAGGACUGUUACUUUGAAAAAAUUAGAGUGUUUAAAGCAAGCUAACGCUUGAAUACAUUAGCAUGGAAUAAUGAAAUAGGACGAUCGAUCCUAUUUUGUUGGUUUCUAGGAUUGACGUA
rnacentral:rRNA from 1 species